rnacentral:misc_RNA from 1 species
AACGCACCUUGCGCUCCUUGGUAUUCCGAGGAGCAUGCCUGUUUGAGUGUCAUUAAAUUCUCAACCUCUCUAGUUUUCUGAACUAGUAGAUGGCUUGGAUGUGGGGGUUUGUGCAGGCUUUCACAAGUCAGCUCCCCUGAAAUGCAUUAGCCGGUACUAUCUGACCGUCUAUUGGUGUGAUAAUUAUCUACGCCGUGGACAGAAGAACUUGUGCUGCUUACAACCGUCCUGCAUGGGACAAUCAAUGACAUUUUGGCCUCAAAUCAGGUAGGACUACCCGCUGAACUUAA